rnacentral:rRNA from 1 species
AGCAGCAGCCUAUCACUCUGCAGCCCACAGCUUGCAGCCCACUGCAGCUCAGCAGUGUGAGCCUGGUCAGUACCUGGAUGGGAGACCUCCUGGGAAAGCUGAGGCUGCUGCUG